rnacentral:lncRNA from 1 species
CCGCUCAUCACCAUCUCUCUUACACCCCUCAGAGACCAAAACCACGCCGCUUUAUACCGCCGCUUACCGCUCGCUGAAAAUCGCCCAUGGCGGCGGCCGGCGACCAAAUGCCACCAAAAUUAAACCGUUGCCUCUCCUCAACCCCCUCUUCCCAAAUCUCUAAUCAUUUUUCCUCAAAUCCACCCCGAAAGCCUCGAAUUUUCCAAUCCCUAGCACCACCCUGAUAUUCUCUGGUGGCGGCGGCACCACUAACCACCCCCAAAUUUACACCACAUUACCUCCUUCACCCCUUCUUCCCUAAUCCAUGACCAUCUUCCCUCAAAUCACCCCUGAACUCCUUAAAUAUCAAAUGGAAAUCAGAACCCUAAAUCCCAAAAAUGCAAAUCAACCAGUUGGACGAAGAUUUGAGCUCGGAUUGGACUUUAGUCGCAUGUUUUCAUCGAGAACACACGACUAAGGUCUAAUUAAGCCACAAAAUCUGAUUAUUCAAAGCGUUGUUCAAGGAUUUUAUUCACUUAUCUUUAGACAAUAUUUUUCUGGAACUUUUUCUUCACUUCCUUCCCUUAUUUUCUUUUUUGGUUCUUCUCUUCUUUGGUUUUGUCAAAGACCUUUCUGCAUGUGUCUCUUUAAUCCAGGCUAGUCGUUAACUGGUACUCCUAUUAGUUUUGUUUUAGUUUGUUUAAUUUUCAGAAGUUCGUUGUGAUUUAAAAGUAUUUUUGUUCAUUGUACGUUUUGUUAGUUUUCCAGAAUUGUUGUUCAUGCAUGAUUAGUUUUGCACCUUUUCUUUAAUCAGUAAAAUUAGUCCAUUAAUUAACUUAGUUUACUAAUUUAGUAAGUCUAAUUAAUGGUUUGUUUAGUCUAGGAUUUAAUUGCUGAAAUGUUUACAUUUUUCUAGUAUUUUAGAUUUUAAUUGGUUAAUUGGUUGUUUAAGGCUUGGGAUUUCUGACACAUUUAGGAAAAGAAGGCAACCUCAGUUUGGAAAUUGGACCCUUGGGUCAAAUUGACCCAUGUACGUUUGGUUUAAGGGUAAAAACAAAGGGUCUGAGGGUUAAUUUAGGAAAAUGGUAUAGGGAAUCUACGUGUUACUGCCUUAGGAAGCUUCCUAGAAGCUGAAAAAUAAAUUUGCUUGGCAAGCAGUAAAAAAUUUAGGGACCAAGCAGCAAAAAUAAAAAUUGAGAAAGGAUUGAAGGGCAAAAAUUGAACACUUUUAGGAUGCCCUAAUGCCUUGCCUAUAAAGGCAUCAUAACUUGGUUUUCAAGUCAGAUUUUUUAGAAUAAGAAUUUAGAAAAGAAAAGGACUGCUGAGAUUUUUUAAGAAUUCUGAAAAACUGCUCAAAACUCUGCUCAUUUUUAGUCUUUUACUUUCAAUUUGAUGAAUAUAAACUUUUUGAAAAUCAUAGCUUCUCAUUCUGGGAUUUGAAAUGGGUUGAAUUUGGGUUUUGGAACAAAUUUUGGUUUAAGUACUACUGGUUGGACACUGUUCUAUUGAUUUUCCUGAGCUGAUUUCACUAUGUUGAUUGAUUGAAUCUGAGGUUGUUUUCUGCAGUUGUGUAUUGCUGAUUGUUCACUUCCCUUUCCUUUUCAAUUUCCAGGUACAUGCUCUAAAACUUAUAUAAUGUGAAUGCUUGACUCGAAGGAUGAAAUGGAAAGUGGAAUCGUGAAGUUUAACAUUAGUUUGUAAUUCAUAGUUAUUCAUCUCUUUCCUUUUCUUCUGAUAUCUUUGGGCUUUGAAUGUGAAGCAAUGUUUCUUGUAUUCAGUGGGAAGUUUUGUAUCACACUUGUUUUGAUACUCAUAUAGUGUAAAAAUUAAAGUUGGUUUCUUCUAACAUUGUGCAAGACCUUGGGUGGUGUAGAACAGUAAAAGUCAUGUCACAUAUACAUGUUCAUUUAAGCUUUUCCUUUCUUAUCUUCAUUGAAUGACUGAGUCCACAUGACUGAAAAUUCGAAUGUGACUUUGAAGCCUUGGUCAUGUAUGCUGGUUUCUAUGGAAUUUUGAUGGUUUGAAUAUAAAUUAGUUGAGUUUAAGUUUGUUAGGUAAUGGAUAGUAGGAAAGUCGUGCAAAAGGGGAAAACCGUCAAGAUUGCUUUUAGGAAUAAUGACUUUGUUAUUAGCUUAAUUUUGGUUAUGCAUGACUAUCAGGGUGUUUAGCUAUGUUAAUUUGCGGUGAUUAGGUAAGAAUUGAAAGUGUUUAGCUAUAUUAAUUUUUAUGGAUAAGUUUAUAAAAUUUGAGCUCAAGUUAGACCAAUAGAAAGUAUCCUUCUUCGGGCUCGUCUUGUGCAUCUUGAGUUUCUAAUGUCAUUUUUCGCCUUGGGCCUAAGGUGGAAAGGAGUGGUAAGAACUGGGAUUACAUAUGGGAUUUUUACAUAUACAUCCCAUAUAGCAAACCUUAUAACCACUCAUGUUUAAGGUUAGUAUUUAUUACAUUUAAGUAUACCACCUUUCAAUUUAUAUACCAAAAUUUAUUUUUAAGGUUUAAGGAUCAACUAUUAAUUAGAGGCUUGAUUUGUGGAACAAAAACUUUUCAUAUUUUUUUUUAUACGUUUUUCUCUUUCUUCCAACCAAAACCGAUGCAUUUCUCCCCUUUUUUAAUUACACCCCCCNNNNNNNNNNNNNNNNNNNNNNNNNNNNNNNNNNNNNNNNNNNNNNNNNNNNNNNNNNNNNNNNNNNNNNNNNCCCCUUUUUUAAUUCCCCCCCCCCCCCCCACGUUUAUUUACCAAGACAGUAUUCUUUGAUUUCUCUGGUUUAAUUUCAUCCUCCAUUGUCAUCCUCCAUUGUCGAAGUCCAUUGUCGAAGGUUGCCAUUGUUUCAGAUCAAGAGUUUCAUCCGCCAUAUUUUCAUUCCUACGGUUGCAUCAAGGUCCCAAACUCUCUACAAAACAAUUUUCUCUCUCUCAAUGCUUCAAUUUCAUCCGCCAUUUCCGAACCCUCUUCAAAAUUUUCUCAAGAAAACACAUAUUCAGUCACUGUGUUGUAGUUUUCUCAAUUUCAUCCGCCACAUNNNNNNNNNNNNNNNNNNNNNNNNNNNNNNNNNNNNNNNNNNNNNNNNNNNNNNNNNNNNNNNNNNNNNNNNNNNNNNNNNNNNUUCUCCUCAAUGUGUUGUAGUUUAAUAUUUUUUGCCAAAAAAUAGAAUGCAAGUGUUUGUUUGGUGUUUAAGUAUUUUUUGUCUAAAUGUACUGUAUUAUUGCAUACUAGGGUUGUUUAUACAAAUUGUAGUUCAUCGUAGUUUUUUGGAGUUAAUUUGUAGUUAAUUGGCAAAAUGUACUGUUGAAUCAAAUAUGUAGUUAAUUGUAGUGUUUGUAGUUUAAUGUAGUUCAAUGUACUUUUUAUUUGGAAGUGUGACUGUUGACUCAAAUUUGUAGUUAAUUAUAGUUUUUGUAGUUUAAUGUAGUUUACUGUACUUUUUAUGUGGAACUGUGAUAAAAACGUUAACUACAUUUACCCACAUUUGGCUACAUUCUAAAAACACACUGGAAACACUGCAUAUAAACGUUAACUAUAUUUACCCACAUUUGACUACAUUCUAAAAACACACUGGAAACACUGCAUAUAAACGUUAACUACAUUUACUCACAUUUGACUAUAUUUUAAAAACACACUGGAAACACUGCAACAGCUACUGUAUUUUUUUGUUCCUUUUUCCUGCACCAAACAAGAAUAUAUCCGAGGUGCAACGGAGGACAAUUAUCUGCAACGGAUGACAAUUAUCAUUCACAAUGUAUUUUAUUUCUACAAUUUUAUCCGAUGUAUCAAUCGAUAAUUGUUCUGCAAUUGUAGACUGGAGAAUUCCGCAGCUUGCAUUAUCAUCAACCAAAAUGGAAUCAACUUCAAAAUCUCGGAAUCUGCCAUAUUUAUCCCAAUAACCAUUACAUUUCAG